UUUUUGAAAAUAAUUUAAAGUCUAAUCUGCCCACUGAUAAAUAUAUUAAAGGGCUGCAGUAUUUUGACUGUACAAAGGUAGCAUAAUCAUUAGUCUCUUAAUUGGUGACUUGUAUGAAGGAUUGGAUGAAAUAUAAACUGUCUCUAAUUAAUUUAUAAAAUUUAAUUUUUUAGUAAAAAAGCUAAAAUAAUUUUAAAAGACGAGAAGACCCUAUAGAGUUUUAUAAUUUAUUUAAUUAUUAUUAAUUUGUAAAUUUUAAAAUUAAAAUUAAAUAAAUUAUUUUGUUGGGGUGACAGAAAAAUUAAAUUAACUUUUUUAAAUAAUUAACAUUAAUUUAUGAAUAAAUGAUCCAUUAAUAUUGAUUAAAAGAAAAAAUUACCUUAGGGAUAACAGCGUAAUUUUUUUUUUUAGUUCAAAUAGGAAAAAAAGUUUGCGACCUCGAUGUUGGAUUAAGAUAAAAUUUAAAUGCAAAAGUUUAAAAUUUUGAUCUGUUCGAUCAUUAAAAUCUUACAUGAUCUGAGUUCAAACCGGUGUGAGCCAGGUUGGUUUCUAUCUUUAAAUAAAAAUAAUAUUUUAGUACGAAAGGAUCAAAUAUUAAAAAUAAUUUUAUAAAAAUGAAUAUUAUUAAUGAUAGUAAUAAA
rnacentral:rRNA from 1 species